GUUAGCUCAGUAGGUAGAGCGUCAGUCUCAUAAUCUGGAGGUCGUGAGUUCGAUCCUCACAU
rnacentral:ncRNA from 14 species